AAGCCAUGCAUGCUGGUUCAAUGUAAAUGAAACUGCGUACGGCUCAUUAGAGCAGAUAUCAUCUCCUUCGGCGAUUCCGUUUGGAUAACUGUGGAAAUUCUAGAGCUAAUACACGAACUAAAGCCUUGAAUCAUGAGAGGCGCACUUAUUAGAACAGACCAAUCGUCGCAAGACGUUGACUGUUGACUCUGAAUAAUGCAGUAUAUUGUCGAAGCAAUUCGACAAAGGCCGAAACGAGUGUCUGCCCUAUCAACUAGAUGGUAGUCUAUUAGUCUACCAUGGUUGCAACGGGUAACGGAGAAUAAGGGUUCGACUCCGGAGAGGGAGCCUUAGAAACGGCUACCACAUCCAAGGAAGGCAGCAGGCGCGAAACUUAUCCACUGUUGACAAUGAGAUAGUGACUAAACAUAAAAAAGCCCCUCCUCUGGAGGGGCUAUUUCAAUGAGUUGAAUACAAAUGAUUCUUCGAGGAUCCAGGAGAGGGCAAGUCUGGUGCCAGCAGCCGCGGUAAUUCCAGCUCUCCUAGUGUAAAUCGUCAUUGCUGCGGUUAAAAAGCUCGUAGUUGGAUCUAGGUCAUAUGCUGUUGUUCGUUUUUAGCGUUAAUAACGGCUGUGACUUUCUGUUGGUUUUCUACUUCGGUGGUGACCAGCGCGUUUACUUUGAAUAAAUUAAAGUGCUCAAGACAAGCGUUCGCUUGAAUAGUUGAUCAUGGAAUAAUGGAACAGGACUUCGGUUCUUUUUAUUGGUUCUAGAACUGUAGUAAUGGUUAAGAGGGACAACUCGGGGGCAUUCGUAUCAUUGCGCGAGAGGUGAAAUUCGUGGACCGCAGUGGGACGCCCUAAAGCGAAAGCAUUUGCCAAGAAUGUCUUCAUUAAUCAAGAACGAAAGUCAGAGGUUCGAAGGCGAUUAGAUACCGCCCUAGUUCUGACCGUAAACUAUGCCAUCUAGCGAUCCGGUACUUCUUUUUGAGGUGUCGGGGAGCUUCCCGGAAACGAAAGUCUUUCGGUUCCUGGGGUAGUAUGGUUGCAAAGCUGAAACUUAAAGAAAUUGACGGAAGGGCACCACAAGGCGUGGAGCUUGCGGCUUAAUUUGACUCAACACGGGAAAACUCACCCGGCCCGGACACCGUUAGGAUUGACAGAUUGAUAGCUCUUUCUUGAUUCGGUGGUUGGUGGUGCAUGGCCGUUCUUAGUUGGUGGAGUGAUUUGUCUGGUUUAUUCCGAUAACGAGCGAGACUCUAACCUGCUAAAUAGUUAGCAGAUUUAUAAGUCUGUUUAACUUCUUAGAGGGAUAAGCGGUAUCGAGCCGCACGAGAUUGAGCGAUAACAGGUCUGUGAUGCCCUUAGAUGUCCGGGGCUGCACGCGUGCUACACUGGAAGAAUCAGCGUGUCCCCUCUAUGCCGAAAGGUAUGGGUAAACCGUUGAAACUCUUCCGUGACCGGGAUAGGGAAUUGCAAUUAUUUCCCUUGAACGAGGAAUGCCUAGUAAGUGUGAGUCAUCAGCUCACGUUGAUUACGUCCCUGCCCUUUGUACACACCGCCCGUCGCUAUCCGGGACUGAACUGUUUCGAGAAGAGUGGAGACCGCGCUGCGAAGCUGUCAAAGGCAUCGUAGCAUGGAAACCAUUUUAAUCGCAAUGGUUUGAACCGGGUAAAAGUCGUAACAAGGUAGCUGUAGGUGAACCUGCAGCUGGAUCAUCGCCGAUUCGCUAUUCGCGUAACGGUGUGUGUUUCCGCAACACAUGCAUUUUUUUUGUACAACAACAGAAAAUGUAACGUCGCUUCCCCUGGAGGUGUCUAAUGUUGUUCUGAGCCGUCUUUCUUGUCUUCUUUGACAGCCAUCAAUGUUCACGAGAUGGUCGACGUGGCGGCAAUGACGGAACACCAUCUGAGUUCACAAAAAUAUUGUGUAAACUUUUUUUUUGUUGAAUUUCGGUAGUACACAAUAGGCCUGCGUAGUUUGCCUGCCUCCAAUGCGUUUGUUUGUGUAACAAAAAAUAUCAAAAUUUGAUUUGGUGGCUUUCGAGAGUUCCGCAUUUUUUUUACGGUUCUCGAGCCUCAAUGAAGCCGACUGCUCCUUGCGAGUGAGUUGUCGACUCGCCGAAUCUCUCUAUACGUUGGUCGAAUUGGUAUUUUGUGACAGCUAGAUCUUAAUAGAUUAUAUUUAAAAAAAAAAACUAGCUUUGGCGAUGGAUCGGUUGCAUCGAGCAUCGAUGAAGAACGCAGCAAGCUGCGUUACUUACCAUGAAUUGCAGAAGCAUUGAGUGGUGAAAUUUCGAACGCAUAGCACCGUCGGGUAACUCCCGACGGUACGUCUGGCUCAGUGUUGGAUUUUACUACUGCAACCACUACUGAGUCUUCUUCGGAACGCUUCGGACUGGUAGCGAUGUCGGAUGGCAUUAGUGCAUGUGUGUGUGUGUGUGUGUGACGUCGACGUCGUCGUCGUCGUCGCAUACCCUGAUCCUGUCUUUGUGUGAAUUCAAAAAUCACAAGGUUCACCAUG
rnacentral:rRNA from 1 species